rnacentral:rRNA from 1 species
GAUGAACGCUGGAGGCGUGCUUAAUACAUGCAAGUCGAGCGAACAGACGAGGAGCUUGCUCCUUUCACGUUAGCCGCGGACGUGUGAGUAACAUGUGGAUCCUCCACCUAUCUUACUGGGAUAAUUUCGGGAAUCCGGCGCUAAUACCGUAUAAUAUCCUGAACCGCAUGGUUCAAUAGUGAAUGACGGUUUUGCUGUCACUUAUAGAUGGAUCCGCGCCGCAUUAGCUAGUUGGUAAGGUAACGGCUUAUCACGGCAACGAUGCGUAGCCGACCUGAGAGAGUGAUAGGCCACACUGGAACUGGGCCACGGUCCAGGCUCCUACGAGAGGCAGCAGUAGGGAAUGUGACGCAAUGGGCGAGAACCUGACGGAGCAGCGCCGCGUGAGUGAUGAAGAUCUUCGGAUCGUAAAACUCUGUUAUUAGGGAAGAACAAAUUUGUAAGUAACUAUGCACGUCUUGACGGUACCUAGUCAGGAAGCCACGGCUAACUACGUG